AGUGUGGCAGGCCUGGAAAUUAAUUAAUCUGACACAUUAGAUCAAGGAUGGCAAGACAAAUCUUAAGUGUGUAAAAUCAAAGUCAAAUAUCAUAUUCUUGGUAAAACAGGAUGACCAGCAAACAAGCUGUAACCUUCACUCUUGCCAGCAUGUAAUUACGAAGUUAAUAGUGGCCCUCAAGGCAUAAUUAUCCAUUGAAACCAUUCGAAACUGACAACCCUGCAUUAGAUGUUCUUAUAAGGUUAGCCUGGCUCUGGGAAACGCCAAACCGACGCCUUGACAACCCAGACGAGGCAACGAGUGAUGUGGCAGAGUGGUGGUGGUGGUGGUAGUAGUGGUGGCUCCUGUUUCGGUGUCUUGGGUGAGAAGUGAAUCCUGGCAAGCUGGUGAAGCCGAACAGAGGCCACGUCCACCCUUCGCUGAGUGUGGGCUUCUCACUCCACCCUCGUCCUCCGCCCAGGAUGUGACCGUGAAGGGAAGACCAUGAGGGGAACGAUAGACGAACGUUUUAAGAGGUAACCGUGAGUGAGCGCAUCUGAGGCUCCGUGUAGACGUGGCGGAGGUUGUCUCGGUUAAAGCGGUGAAUCCCGUGAAGUCGGACAGAUGCCAGAUUCGCUCAUCAUUGCAUGCCAAGGAGAGAAGCUUCACAGUGACGGCAUUCCACCUCCCCACGCUCUGAACAGCAGCAGCAACCAGACACCACCACCACCACCACCAUCAUGACAGCAGCCAUUACUACUCCCAGGAUGAAUGGUUAUCAACACCAGCCGCAGCAUCCGCCACCAACCAACCCCUCACGCUGUCAUGGGCAGCUGCAGCUCCAGGGGAGGAAGCUUGUGGAAGCCUUCACAGCUUGGACAUCAUCACCUCACUCUCCAUCCAUAUACACCUGUGUAAUAAAAUGUGUCAGACUUGGCUGGCCACUGGUUGUGGUAAACAAGCUUCCCUGUGUUGUAAGAGUUCAGAGGACUCCCAAUUUUUAUUUUUUUUUAAUAAAAUUUCUGGCUGGCAAA